AGAGUUUGAUCCUGGCUCAGGACGAACGCUGGCGGCGUGCUUAACACAUGCAAGUCGAACGGACCUUGGGGGCUUGCCUUCGGGGUUAGUGGCGAACGGGUGAGUAACACGUGAGUAACCUGCCCCUGACUCUGGGAUAACUGCUGGAAACGGUGGCUAAUACCGGAUAUGAGACUUCCUCGCAUGGGGUUGUCUGGAAAGAUUUUUUGGUUGGGGAUGGACUCGCGGCCUAUCAGCUUGUUGGUGGGGUGAUGGCCUACCAAGGCGACGACGGGUAGCCGGCCUGAGAGGGCGACCGGCCACACUGGGACUGAGACACGGCCCAGACUCCUACGGGAGGCAGCAGUGGGGAAUAUUGCACAAUGGGCGCAAGCCUGAUGCAGCGACGCCGCGUGAGGGAUGGAGGCCUUCGGGUUGUAAACCUCUUUCAGCAGGGAAGAAGCUUUCGGGUGACGGUACCUGCAGAAGAAGCGCCGGCUAACUACGUGCCAGCAGCCGCGGUAAUACGUAGGGCGCAAGCGUUGUCCGGAAUUAUUGGGCGUAAAGAGCUCGUAGGCGGUUUGUCGCGUCUGCUGUGAAAACCUUAGGCUCAACCUGGGGCUUGCAGUGGGUACGGGCAGACUAGAGUGCGGUAGGGGUGACUGGAAUUCCUGGUGUAGCGGUGGAAUGCGCAGAUAUCAGGAGGAACACCGAUGGCGAAGGCAGGUCACUGGGCCGCAACUGACGCUGAGGAGCGAAAGCAUGGGGAGCGAACAGGAUUAGAUACCCUAGUAGUCC
rnacentral:rRNA from 1 species